ACGGGGGGUGCAAGCGUUGUUCGGAAUUAUUGGGCGUAAAGAGCGUGUAGGCGGCUGAAUAAGUCAGAUGUGAAAUCCCUGGGCUUAACCCAGGAAGAGCAUUUGAAACUAUUCAGCUUGAGUAGGGGAGAGGAAAGUGGAAUUCCUGGUGUAGAGGUGAAAUUCGUAGAUAUCAGGAGGAACGCCGGUGGCGAAGGCUACUUUCUGGCCCUAUACUGACGCUGAGACGCGAGAUCUUGGGUAGCAAACAG
rnacentral:rRNA from 1 species